rnacentral:rRNA from 1 species
GACGAACGCUGGCGGCGUGCUUAACACAUGCAAGUCGAACGGAAAGGCCCUGCUUUUGUGGGGUGCUCGAGUGGCGAACGGGUGAGUAACACGUGAGUAACCUGCCCUUGACUUUGGGAUAACUUCAGGAAACUGGGGCUAAUACCGGAUAGGAGCUCCUGCUGCAUGGUGGGGGUUGGAAAGUUUCGGCGGUUGGGGAUGGACUCGCGGCUUAUCAGCUUGUUGGUGGGGUAGUGGCUUACCAAGGCUUUGACGGGUAGCCGGCCUGAGAGGGUGACCGGCCACAUUGGGACUGAGAUACGGCCCAGACUCCUACGGGAGGCAGCAGUGGGGAAUAUUGCACAAUGGGCGGAAGCCUGAUGCAGCAACGCCGCGUGCGGGAUGACGGCCUUCGGGUUGUAAACCGCUUUCGCCUGUGACGAAGCGUGAGUGACGGUAAUGGGUAAAGAAGCACCGGCUAACUACGUGCCAGCAGCCGCGGUGAUACGUAGGGUGCGAGCGUUGUCCGGAUUUAUUGGGCGUAAAGGGCUCGUAGGUGGUUGAUCGCGUCGGAAGUGUAAUCUUGGGGCUUAACCCUGAGCGUGCUUUCGAUACGGGUUGACUUGAGGAAGGUAGGGGAGAAUGGAAUUCCUGGUGGAGCGGUGGAAUGCGCAGAUAUCAGGAGGAACACCAGUGGCGAAGGCGGUUCUCUGGGCCUUUCCUGACGCUGAGGAGCGAAAGCGUGGGGAGCGAACAGGCUUAGAUACCCUGGUAGUCCACGCUGUAAACGGUGGGUACUAGGUGUGGGGUCCAUUCCACGGGUUCCGUGCCGUAGCUAACGCUUUAAGUACCCCGCCUGGGGAGUACGGCCGCAAGGCUAAAACUCAAAGGAAUUGACGGGGCCCCGCACAAGCGGCGGAGCAUGCGGAUUAAUUCGAUGCAACGCGUAGAACCUUACCUGGGUUUGACAUGGAUCGGGAGUGCUCAGAGAUGGGUGUGCCUCUUUUGGGGUCGGUUCACAGGUGGUGCAUGCCUGUCGUCAGCUCGUGUCGUGAGAUGUUGGGUUAAGUCCCGCAACGAGCGCAACCCUUGUUCACUGUUGCCAGCACGUUAUGGUGGGGACUCAGUGGAGACCGCCGGGGUCAACUCGGAGGAAGGUGGGGAUGACGUCAAGUCCUCAUGCCCCUUAUGUCCAGGGCUUCACGCAUGCUACAAUGGCUGGCACAGAGAGUGGCGAGCCUGUGAGGGUGAGCGAAUCUCGGAAAGCCGGUCUCAGUUCGGAUUGGGGUCUGCAACUCGACCUCAUGAAGUCGGAGUCGCUAGUAAUCGCAGAUCAGCAACGCUGCGGUGAAUACGUUCCCGGG